CGAGACGGACAGAUGGAAGGGCCUAGGCACUGAUACCUCUGAUGAUCAACAAGACAUCACCAGAGGAAAGGGUAUGGUUGAUUCUCUCUUCCAAGCCCCCUCGGGAACGGGAACCCACUAUGCUGUCCUCAGCUCUUACGAAUACCUCAGUCAGGGACUUCGCACGUAAGAGUACUAUUAAAACUAAUCCUCACUUACUAUGAGAUUGGAAUUCAAAGUAUUAACUCACUAAUCAUGCUGAGCUGCUGCCUGCUGCAGAUACAAUUUGGACAACACCAUGGACGGUUUGUACAUCGCUCCUGCCUUCAUGGACAAGCUCGUUGUUCACAUAACCAAGAACUACAUGUCCUUGCCUGGCAUCAAGGUAAAUGUACUUGAUAUCAUAUAGUAUUAAUGUGAAGCAUUAUGUAUGUAACCCGUACUCAUCAUAGUAAUGGCUAAUCGCACUAUCGCAGACUCCGAUAAGUGGAACUGUACUACUUUACGCAGCCACGUGUAAUAAAAAUAAAAUAUUUUCUAAAUAAACAAUUUUAACCUCCACACUAGUACGCAAAGGACAUUCGUAAUUAACUGGUGAGUAUCGAUUUUAUUAAAAUACCUCCUUCAGUACUGAACCAUCUUUUAACAAGAUCCAUCACCUAAGUAGUCUCUGUAAUUGCCGUGCCAUGGAAAGUUGAUAGUUUCCCCCUUAUUGUGUAAUAGGUCCCCCUCAUCCUGGGUGUCUGGGGAGGCAAAGGUCAAGGAAAAUCUUUCCAGUGUGAGCUCGUCUUUGCCAAGAUGGGAAUCAAGUGAGUUUUAUAUAGUUGUUCUUGUUUUCAUAGUUCAAGUUCUCCACAAGAAAAAUGUGGAGGUCGGUUCAUAGGUUGAGUACAAAAACACGAGUCUUGAGUUACUGGGGUUAAUUAUUGAUUGGGUUUUUCAGCCCUAUCAUGAUGAGUGCCGGAGAACUGGAAAGCGGAAAUGCAGGAGAGCCAGCCAAGCUUAUCAGGCAAAGAUACAGGGAAGCAGCUGACAUUAUCAGGAAGGGAAAAAUGUGCUGUCUCUUCAUCAACGAUCUUGAUGCCGGUGCUGGUCGUCUCGGUGGAACUACACAAUACACUGUUAACAACCAGAUGGUUAACGCCACCCUCAUGAACAUUGCUGAUAACCCCACCUGUGUCCAACUCCCCGGUAUGUACAACAAAGAAGAGAACCCCCGUGUGCCCAUCAUUGUCACCGGUAAUGAUUUCUCCACCUUGUAUG
rnacentral:lncRNA from 1 species